CUACUGGAAACGGUGGCUAAUACCGCAUAACGUCGCAAGACCAAAGAGGGGGACCUUCGGGCCUCUUGCCAUCAGAUGUGCCCAGAUGGGAUUAGCUUGUUGGUGAGGUAACGGCUCACCAAGGCGACGAUCCCUAGCUGGUCUGAGAGGAUGACCAGCCACACUGGAACUGAGACACGGUCCAGACUCCUACGGGAGGCAGCAGUGGGGAAUAUUGCACAAUGGGCGCAAGCCUGAUGCAGCCAUGCCGCGUGUAUGAAGAAGGCCUUCGGGUUGUAAAGUACUUUCAGCGGGGAGGAAGGUGUUGUGGUUAAUAACCGCAGCAAUUGACGUUACCCGCAGAAGAAGCACCGGCUAACUCCGUGCCAGCAGCCGCGGUAAUACGGAGGGUGCAAGCGUUAAUCGGAAUUACUGGGCGUAAAGCGCACGCAGGCGGUCUGUCAAGUCGGAUGUGAAAUCCCCGGGCUCAACCUGGGAACUGCAUUCGAAACUGGCAGGCUUGAGUCUUGUAGAGGGGGGUAGAAUUCCAGGUGUAGCGGUGAAAUGCGUAGAGAUCUGGAGGAAUACCGGUGGCGAAGGCGGCCCCCUGGACAAAGACUGACGCUCAGGUGCGAAAGCGUGGGGAGCAAACAGGAUUAGAUACCCUGGUAGUCCACGCCGUAAACGAUGUCUACUUGGAGGUUGUGCCCUUGAGGCGUGGCUUCCGGAGCUAACGCGUUAAGUAGACCGCCUGGGGAGUACGGCCGCAAGGUUAAAACUCAAAUGAAUUGACGGGGGCCCGCACAAGCGGUGGAGCAUGUGGUUUAAUUCGAUGCAACGCGAAGAACCUUACCUGGUCUUGACAUCCACAGAACUUUCCAGAGAUGGAUUGGUGCCUUCGGGAACUGUGAGACAGGUGCUGCAUGGCUGUCGUCAGCUCGUGUUGUGAAAUGUUGGGUUAAGUCCCGCAACGAGCGCAACCCUUAUCCUUUGUUGCCAGCGGUCCGGCCGGGAACUCAAAGGAGACUGCCAGUGAUAAACUGGAGGAAGGUGGGGAUGACGUCAAGUCAUCAUGGCCCUUACGACCAGGGCUACACACGUGCUACAAUGGCGCAUACAAAGAGAAGCGACCUCGCGAGAGCAAGCGGACCUCAUAAAGUGCGUCGUAGUCCGGAUUGGAGUCUGCAACUCGACUCCAUGAAGUCGGAAUCGCUAGUAAUCGUGGAUCAGAAUGCCACGGUGAAUACGUUCCCGGGCCUUGUACACACCGCCCGUCACACCAUGGGAGUGGGUUGCAAAAGAAGUAGGUAGCUUAACCUUCGGGAGGGCGCUUACCACUUUGUGAUUCAUGACUGGGGUGAAGUCGUAACAAGGUAACCGUAGGGGAACCUGCGGUUGGAUCACCUCCUUACCUGAAAGAA
rnacentral:rRNA from 1 species